AGAUGAUGCCUACGGGGGCAGCAGUGGGGGAUAUUGCACAAUGGGGGGAACCCUGAUGCAGCGACGCCGCGUGGGUGAAGAAGCGCCUCGGCGCGUAAAGCCCUGUCAGCAGGGAAGAAAAUGACGGUACCUGAAGAAGAAGCCCCGGCUAACUACGUGCC
rnacentral:rRNA from 1 species